UUCACAGGACAAGGUCCGAGCCCGCCAAAGCCGGAGCAGCUCGAACCUGCGCCCCCCGGCGGCCGGCGCCAGGUGUGCUCAGGAUGAGGGUAAGCCUCAGACACAAAGUUUGCGCGCAGGGGACGCAGGAGUUGCCAGCACCCUACAAAUGGGACCGGUUCGGCAAUGCCCACGCUCAAAGAGUCCGGUGAUAACCGGCACCACAGGUGGCAGGGGAACCGAGCGCGGGUCGGGCUCUAGGAGAGACGGAGGCCCAGGCGCGCGCCGUUGGUAAAGGAGGCUUACGUCUGGGGCAGGCGAGGCUGCGCGGUCCUUCCAGAUGCCGGGCGUCCGCGACGCUGGCGCCGAGAAGCCGUGGACCCCCAAGGGGCUGGUUGCGUCGGCUCCUUCUGUAGCCUCCUCAGGCACCCGGGCGCCCCCGAGUCCCCUUGACGCGUGAGGGGCGCCGGGUGGAAGAGGGACAGUGAGGACGCUUCUCCAAGGGUCGUGGCAACGCCCCUGGGAAGGAGAGCUUGGUCUCCGUACCGAUCCGACAACUGCUCUCAAAGAAACCCUACCCACGACCCUGGGAGGGUCCUGGACGCUGGGCGACCCGGAUGGAGGACCGUGCGCCCGGGAACUGGUUGCGGGGUGCUGAGCGCGGGGCUGGGAAAGAUGAAGCUCACCGACGGCGCGUGAAGAAACUGCGUUUCCAAGACUGCCGGAGACUUUGCUGAGGCUGCAGGGAGCCGGGAGAACCCGAGCCCGCUUGCAUGAACCUAGCAAGCGGUUUGCUGCGGAGGGCACCCACUGGGUGGACUCUGCGGGCCAGCAACUCGGGGUCUUUCUGUCAUUCAGCGUCAAGGAGGGCACUGAAGAUGAGGAGGAACCUGAGUCUCACAGAAGUUAAAUAAUUGCCCAAGAUCUCACAACUAGAAAAGGGCAGAACCCGAAUUAGAGCCCAAUCUGGAACUAGACUGACCUCUUAACCUCUACCUUCAAUAGUACAAUUAUUAAGACAGUAAUGAAAAAUGCCCCCAAAGUUUACGGCCUAGAAUUACUGUGAAUUCAUUCAUUCACCCAUCAAAUAUUUACCGAGCACUGCAGUGGAUUGAAGAGUGUACCCUGCCAAAAUUAAUGUCCACCUGGAACCCAAAAAUAUAAUCUUCCUUGUUUGGAAAUAGGGUCUUUGUAGAGGUAACCAGGUAAAAUUUAAUUAUCCUGGAAUAGGGUGGGCCCUAAAUAGUGUUCUUUGAAGAGACAGAAAAAGAUACACAGACAUGGAAAAGAAGACCGUGUGGAGAUGGAGGCGACAUCAGAGUGACGUGUCUACGAACCGAGAAGUGCCAAGGAGAGACGCCCAGCACCAGAAGCUAGGAGAGGCAGGGAGUGGUCUCUGAGUCUCCAGAAGGAACCAACCCUGCUGAUACUUUGAUUUUGGACUUCUGGCCUCCUGAACUGUGAGAGGAUAAAUUUCUGUUGCUUCAA